AUGAAGCACUGUGCUGGUCCCGCAGUGAAGCCCUCCGUGUCUCUGCUGCCUCCCUCUUCUCUGCAGAUCUCUGGAGACUCAGCCGCACUGCUCUGUCUGCUCAGCUCUUACUCUCCACAGGGGGCGCAGGUGAGCUGGACACUGGACGGGUCAGAGGUCACCGAGGGGGUUCAGACCAGCGCAGAGAGCGAGCGGGACGGACGCUACAGCCGCAGCAGCGUCCUGAGCCUCAGCAAAGCACGCUGGGAAGCCGGCGAGCGCUUCGUCUGCAGAGUAACACAUGACGGAGCUGAUCACGAGACCUCGUUCCUCAAGAGCUCCGAGUGCUGA